GAGGACCAUCUCCCAAGGCUAAAUACUCCCUAGUGACCGAUAGUGAACCAGUACCGUGAGGGAAAGGUGAAAAGCACCCCGGAAGGGGAGUGAAACAGUUCCUGAAACCGUGUGCCUACAAGUAGUUAGAGCCCGUUAAUGGGUGAUAGCGUGCCUUUUGUAGAAUGAACCGGCGAGUUACGAUUUGUUGCAAGGUUAAGCGGAAAAAGCGGAGCCGUAGCGAAAGCGAGUCUGAAUAGGGCGCAUAAGUAACAGGUCGUAGACCCGAAACCAGGUGAUCUACCCAUGUCCAGGAUGAAGGUAAGGUAAUACUUACUGGAGGUCCGAACCCACGCACGUUGAAAAGUGCGGGGAUGAGGUGUGGGUAGCGGAGAAAUUCCAAUCGAACUUGGAGAUAGCUGGUUCUCUCCGAAAUAGCUUUAGGGCUAGCCUCGAGGUAAAGAGUCAUGGAGGUAGAGCACUGUUUGGACUAGGGGCCCUUCUCGGGUUACCGAAUUCAGAUAAACUCCGAAUGCCAUGUACUUAUACUCGGGAGUCAGACUGCGAGUGAUAAGAUCCGUAGUCGAAAGGGAAACAGCCCAGACCACCAGUUAAGGUCCCCAAAUAUAUGUUAAGUGGAAAAGGAUGUGGGGUUGCUUAGACAACCAGGAUGUUGGCUUAGAAGCAGCCACCAUUGAAAGAGUGCGUAAUAGCUCACUGGUCGAGUGACCCCGCGCCGAAAAUGUACCGGGGCUAAACAUAUUACCGAAACUGUGGAUGAACCUCUUUAGAGGUUCGUGGUAGGAGAGCGUUCUAAGGGCGGUGAAGUCAGACCGGAAGGACUGGUGGAGCGCUUAGAAGUGAGAAUGCCGGUAUGAGUAGCGAAAGAAGGGUGAGAAUCCCUUCCACCGAAUAUCUAAGGUUUCCUGAGGAAGGCUCGUCCGCUCAGGGUUAGUCGGGACCUAAGCCGAGGCCGAUAGGCGUAGGCGAUGGACAACAGGUAGAGAUUCCUGUACCAGUGCUAAUUGUUUAACCGAUGGGGUGACACAGAAGGAUAGGGAAUCGCACGAAUGGAAAUGUGCGUCCAAGCAGUGAGUGUGAGAAGUAGGCAAAUCCGCUUCUCGCGAAGCAUGAGCUGUGAUGGGGAAGGAAAUUAAGUACGGAAGUUCCUGAUUUCACGCUGUCAAGAAAAGCCUCUAGGAAGAGUAGUACUGCCCGUACCGCAAACCGACACAGGUAGAUGAGGAGAGAAUCCUAAGGUGAGCGAGAGAACUCUCGUUAAGGAACUCGGCAAAAUGACCCCGUAACUUCGGGAGAAGGGGUGCUCUAUUAGGGUGCAAGCCCGAGAGAGCCGCAGUGAAUAGGCCCAGGCGACUGUUUAGCAAAAACACAGGUCUCUGCAAAACCGUAAGGUGACGUAUAGGGGCUGACGCCUGCCCGGUGCUGGAAGGUUAAGAGGAGUGCUUAGCUUCGGCGAAGGUACGAAUUGAAGCCCCAGUAAACGGCGGCCGUAACUAUAACGGUCCUAAGGUAGCGAAAUUCCUUGUCGGGUAAGUUCCGACCCGCACGAAAGGCGCAACGAUCUGGGCACUGUCUCAACGAGAGACUCGGUGAAAUUAUAGUACCUGUGAAGAUGCAGGUUACCCGCGACAGGACGGAAAGACCCCGUGGAGCUUUACUGCAACCUGAUAUGGAAUGUUUGUACCGCUUGUACAGGAUAGGUAGGAGCCGAAGAGACGUGUGCGCUAGCAUACGAGGAGGCAAUGGUGGGAUACUACCCUGGCUGUAUGACCAUUCUAACCCGCCACGCUUAGCGCGUGGGGAGACAGUGUCAGGUGGGCAGUUUGACUGGGGCGGUCGCCUCCUAAAGAGUAACGGAGGCGCCCAAAGGUUCCCUCAGAAUGGAUGGAAAUCAUUCGCAGAGUGUAAAGGCACAAGGGAGCUUGACUGCGAGACUGACAAGUCGAGCAGGGACGAAAGUCGGGCUUAGUGAUCCGGUGGUUCCGCAUGGAAGGGCCAUCGCUCAACGGAUAAAAGCUACCCCGGGGAUAACAGGCUUAUCUCCCCCAAGAGUCCACAUCGACGGGGAGGUUUGGCACCUCGAUGUCGGCUCGUCGCAUCCUGGGGCUGUAGUCGGUCCCAAGGGUUGGGCUGUUCGCCCAUUAAAGCGGCACGCGAGCUGGGUUCAGAACGUCGUGAGACAGUUCGGUCCCUAUCCGUCGCGGGCGCAGGAAAUUUGAGAGGAGCUGUCCUUAGUACGAGAGGACCGGGAUGGACACACCGCUGGUGUACCAGUUGUUCCGCCAGGAGCAUCGCUGGGUAGCUAUGUGUGGCAGGGAUAAACGCUGAAAGCAUCUAAGCGUGAAGCCCCCCUCAAGAUGAGAUUUCCCAUUUCUUCGGAAAGUAAGAUCCCUGAAAGAUGAUCAGGUAGAUAGGUUUGGAGUGGAAGUGUAGCGAUACAUGGAGCGGACAAAUACUAAUCGAUCGAGGACUUAACCAAAA
rnacentral:rRNA from 1 species